CAGCAGCCGCGGUAAUGCGUAGGUGGCAAGCGUUGUCCGGAAUUAUUGGGCGUAAAGGGCUCGCAGGCGGUUUCUUAAGUCUGAUGUGAAAGCCCCCGGCUCAACCGGGGAGGGUCAUUGGAAACUGGGAAACUUGAGUGCAGAAGAGGAGAGUGGAAUUCCGCGUGUAGCGGUGAAAUGCGUAGAGAUGUGGAGGAACACCAGUGGCGAAGGCGACUCUCUGGUCCGUAACUGACGCUGAGGAGCGAAAGCGUGGGGAGCGAACAGGAUUAGAUACCCCGGUAGUCCCUGUCUCUUAUAC
rnacentral:rRNA from 1 species